UUCUGAUGACGCAUCUGCCACUUGGCUCACUUCAUCAAGGAUUCUUGCUGAACUGGCACAGUCAAAGGUGAGGACUAGCAGAAAAAUGCACAACGUGGCUUGGAGUGUUUUCGAGGUGAGUUGGGAAACUGUCGCCAUCUUUUCUUGAAAACGGUGCUAGAGUGAGAUAUAGAAGGCAAAUGAAGUUGAGUAGAUGGUUAAUUGAUGAGGAAAGACUGGAGCCUCAAUGGUUAUAUAUAGCUUUAUUACAUCCUAAUAAAAAGUGGAGCUGAUAAGGUGGUUUUGGUAAGUAGUGAUAAAUAUGCCUGUUUUUUCUUGUUUUGUUGCAGAACACCAAAUCCACUUGGACAUCAGGUUUGGUUGAACCAACUCUGAAUUUAUUUUUUUCUGAUUAACUAGACAGUUAUCUCUUUAUUUAAUAACCGCGGUGUCCGGGCCAGCUUUCGUAGACUUCGACUAAUUCCACGGGAUACCUGCCACCUCCCACCAACUACAUGUACCAGUUAACUUAGGACAGAUGUUCAUGUGCAGAUAUACUAUGGACUUCACAGAAGCUUUCAUCUUUUCAACAUCUACAGGCAGAGUUGCCAUGUCUCUAUCUUCCUGUUUUUCCGAGCUUAAGAAAAAUUCAUAAUUGCUAGCGGCAGAAUGCAACUUAAGUUUCCUUCAUAGAUGAUAAAAUAUUAAAAUUUAUCAGUAAAUCUUGUUGAAGGCAGAAAAAUUCUCUGUGAAUUUCACACAAUUCUGAAAGAAAUGAGUUCCUAAACCUCAGAAUUCUCCUUAAGUUUCCUAAACCCGAUAUUUAGUUUAAAAUUUGAAGGAAAUUAAGUUGUUUUCUCAUAAAUAGCACAUCUUCAAGAAUCCUCAUAUAUGUAUUAUCUAUUCGUCCUCCAGCAUUGUUUGUAUUUCUUCUUUCAGGCCUUUGCAGCUUAUUCCGUGCUCCUUAAUUGGUCUGUUAACUGUUAACUUUACGAAUUUAGUCAGCCGAUUUAGCAAUACUAUGUCUGCCCCUACACUUUCCUUUGAAUCUGCGCGGAGAAAGCAGUUUUGCCUAUGCAUGACUACAAUUUGAUUUGCUUGUCUAGUAAAAUGUUUGUAGUCAGAAUUUUUUUAUGUGAGUUUCAAUAUAACUUUGCUACUGUUUAAGAUCUGUGCAUUUUUCUGAUGAAACACACUUAGAAAAAGUUCAUGGUGACACUAAUUGUAGUUUAUGUUAUGUAGCAUCUCCCUUUGUAUUGACAGAAACCAAAAGUUCCACACAAAAUCUUCACCCUUAAAACAAAUAUAAAAAUCUUGAACAAUCAAGAAUUACAAUAGAGAAAGAAAUUGUGAAUUACAGCUCAAUGAUUACUCUAGCAAGUUACUAACUUUAACCAAGAUAAACAUUGAAUGAAAGAAUCUUAUAUGCUUCUUCAUUUUUGUUAGAUGUUACAUUGACAAUCUUGACAGUAGCAUAGCCAUUUGCAUCAUGAUACUUUCCGGUACCUCCUAUUACUGCUAUAUGUGAUUCAAAAACAUCGCCCCUAUGCACCCCGAAAAACCUUAGACUAUCUUCAUACUCAUUACCAAGAAAAGUAGUAGUCAUCGCCAUCAUAUGACUGCUACCGUCUUCUGAACUUGCUACAUACAUUCCUUGAGCUUUUCCCUUCAAAGAUGAACCGUAAAUGGAACCUUUGUAUAUGUCCUCAUCGAUUGUUAUCACUGUCCCUAGUUCUAAUUCUUGAAGUGUGGCUAUAGCUGGGAAUGUCAUGCUGAUCCCUUCCAAAUCAAGCGUGUGAGUAUGCAAUCCGUUCAUUCCAACAUUUGGGUUUGUGUCGGUCAAGGGAAUGCCUCCUACUGGAGGGAAAUAGCCUAAUGGUUUCGAGAAGGGAAUUUGAUGAUGACUAUUUACUCUUGUUGAUGCAGGUCUUGAUGAAGGGUGUUUUAGACUAAGAACAUCUAGCAUGUAAAAGGACGUUUCAUGGCGUUCAUGAUGAUGAUUGUUCGUCGAGGAAGGAUUGUUAUUCAGAGUUCUAGCUGAAAAUGAUUGAUUGCUCAAUGUCAAGAAGAAC
rnacentral:lncRNA from 1 species